AUGGACGAUGUCUGAAGCAGAAGAGUUAAGUGGAAUAUUAUCGCCAACUGUUAGAUUGCUAUGGUAUUAGGAUAUAUCACUAGGUGAAUGACAGUUUUUCAUCAUGUCAACAACAAGCAACCUGCUGAACACAAAUACUUUGAAGAGUAAGAAGAAAUAGAAAGGAUGUUUAUUUCAUGAAGCUAACUGAACUCAUAACUUAUGGGCAUUGGAUUAUUCUAUGACAAAUUGUAAUCUAGACACAUUUACAUAAAAUUGGACUAUCUAACACCUUCUUUCUGUCGAGAUAUGCGUGAUGGAUGUCCUUACGAUCUAGAAAUGUUUCAAGCUGGAAAACAGUUUUAUUUAACAGAAAGGAGGCAUUCUACACUGGUCGUGAAUUUUGGAAUCAGGUAGCAGUAUGUACGUAUCUACAUUUAGAUCCUUGGUGUGGAUAAGUAUCAUAGGCUAUGUUGUGGGCUUUAAACGAUCUAUGUAUGGGGAAUGCGUAAAGACCUGCGGCGAAGCACCGCCACUCCGAGUCUUUUUUAUGGAAAGACAUUGCAUAAGAGAUGAUGAUAACUGUUCAUAUUGUAAGUACUACGGAUGCCCUAUCGUCGAGUGCUUUAAGAAAGGAAGAAAAUUGGUACCUAAUUUAACUCCAGACCGACGUUGUCUGACCUGUGAAGGUCAAUGUGUGUAUGGCGCAGAAAUUUACAAGAAAGGAGACAAAUUCAUGGCGGCGGAUGACCUUAACAGUUGUAAAUGUAUCAAUCACGGGCGUGUAAUUUGCAGCAUGAAGAAAAAAAAGCCAUCUAUCAGGGGAUUCUGUGAUAUUUAAACAUCGAUUAUUUUGGUAAAGAAGAUCAACUUUUUUUGUCUUCUUUAUAACCUUAAUCAAGUUUAAUAUCAAAUGUUCUCGAAACAUUUACUUCAUUUUCUUGUGUAAUUGCAAAUGAUAUUCAUUCACACACUAAACAAAUGACGGUUUAAUAUUUUCCAGCAUUAAUGAGAAAUUUUAGCAAUGUACAAGGCAAAGAUAAAGAAAUGAACAAUUGCUAUUUCUGUAUGAAUUGUAAACAGAACAGAAACAAAUAAAGUGAUUCCUAUUUAUUAUUAA